AAGUGUUGGGAUGACGUGUGGAUAGCGGUGAAAUUCCAAUCGAACUCGGAUAUAGCUGGUUCUCCUCGAAAUAGCUUUAGGGCUAGCCUCAUAGUAAGAUACGCAGGGGUAGAGCACUGAAUGUUCUAGGGGCCUUCACCGGUUACCGAAAACUAUCAAACUCCGAAUACUGCGCAAUCAUCUAUGGGAGUCAGACUAUGAGAGAUAAGUUCCAUGGUCGAAAGGGAAACAGCCCAGACCUACAGCUAAGGUCCCAAAAUGUAAGUUAAGUGGAAAAGGAUGUGGAGCUGCAUAAACAGCUAGGAUGUUGGCUUAGAAGCAGCCAUUCAUUUAAAGAGUGCGUAACAGCUCACUAGUCGAGUGGCUCUGCGCCGAAGAUAAACGGGGCUAAAACUUACUACCGAAGCUUAGGAUACCUUUUGGUAUGGUAGAGGAGCAUCGUAUAAGAGUCGAAGGUGAACUGUAAGGUAAGCUGGAUUUUAUACGAGAGAGAAUGUUGGCAUGAGUAGCGAGAGGCAGGUGAGAAUCCUGCCCACCGAAAAUCUAAGGUUUCCUGAGGAAGGUUCGUCCACUCAGGGUUAGUCGGGACCUAAGCCGAGGACGAGAGUCGUAGGCGAUGGACAACUGGUUGAGAUUCCAGUACCACCGAAAGUCGUUUGAGUGAAGUGGGGACACAGAAGGAUAGACAGAGCACGCCGUUGGUAGAGCGUGUCCAAGCAGUGAGGCUUGUGCGUAGGCAAAUCCGCGCACUUUAAGGCUAGGCUGUGAUGGGGAGGGAAAAAAGUACCGGAAGCUGUUGAUUUCACACUGUCAAGAAAAGCCGCUAGCGAGACCGUAGGUGCCCGUACCGCAAACCGACACAGGUAGAUGAGGAGAGAAUCCUAAGGUGAGCGAGAGAACUAUUGUUAAGGAACUCGGCAAAAUGACCCCGUAACUUCGGGAGAAGGGGUGCCAUCGAAAGAUGGCCGCAGUGAAAAGGCCCAGGCGACUGUUUAGCAAAAACACAGGUCUCUGCUAAAGCGAAAGCUGAAGUAUAGGGGCUGACGCCUGCCCGGUGCUGGAAGGUUAAGGGGACUGCUUAGAGCAAUCGAAGGCAUGAACUUAAGCCCCAGUAAACGGCGGCCGUAACUAUAACGGUCCUAAGGUAGCGAAAUUCCUUGUCAGGUAAGUUCUGACCCGCACGAAAGGCGUAACGAUCUGGGCGCUGUCUCAACAAUAGACUCGGUGAAAUUGUAGUACCGGUAAAGAUGCCGGUUACCCGCAGCAGGACGGAAAGACCCCGUGGAGCUUUACUGCAGCUUGAUAUUGGAUUUCGGCAUUGCAUGUACAGGAUAGGUGGGAGACUGCGAACUCAGUACGCCAGUAUUGAGGGAGUCACCGUUGGGAUACCACCCUUGUAAUGUUGAGGUUCUAACUUUGUACCGUGACCCGGUAUGAGGACAGUGUCUGGCGGGCAGUUUGACUGGGGCGGUCGCCUCCUAAAGAGUAACGGAGGCGCCCAAAGGUUCCCUCAGUGCGGACGGAAAUCGCACGAAGAGUGUAAAGGCAGAAGGGAGCUUGACUGCGAGACAAACAGGUCGAGCAGGGACGAAAGUCGGGCUUAGUGAUCCGGUGGUACCGAGUGGAAGGGCCAUCGCUCAACGGAUAAAAGCUACCCCGGGGAUAACAGGCUGAUACCCCCCAAGAGUCCACAUCGACGGGGGUGUUUGGCACCUCGAUGUCGGCUCGUCGCAUCCUGGGGCUGAAGUAGGUCCCAAGGGUUGGGCUGUUCGCCCAUUAAAGCGGUACGCGAGCUGGGUUCAGAACGUCGUGAGACAGUUCGGUCCCUAUCCGCUGUGGGCGUUGGAGAUUUGAGUGGAGCUGUUCUUAGUACGAGAGGACCGGGAUGGACAUACCUCUGGUGCACCAGUUGUUCUGCCAAGGGCAUAGCUGGGUAGCCACGUAUGGAAGGGAUAAGUGCUGAAAGCAUCUAAGUACGAAGCCCCCCACAAGACAAGAUCUCCUCCUUAAAGGUAAGACCCGUGAGAGACUAUCACGUUGA
rnacentral:rRNA from 1 species